rfam:Anopheles sinensis unplaced genomic scaffold AS2_scf7180000695484, whole genome shotgun sequence.
GUCGGCUAUGGAGAUAUGGCACCGAAGACCUACAUCGGAAUGUUCGUUGGAGCGCUCUGUGCUCUAGCCGGUGUGUUGACGAUCGCCCUGCCCGUGCCGGUCAUCGUGAGUAAC